UGAACGCUGGCGGCGUGCUUAACACAUGCAAGUCGAACGAUGAAGCCUAGCUUGCUAGGUGGAUUAGUGGCGCACGGGUGAGUAAUAUAUAGAUAAUGUGCCUCUUAGUCUGGGAUAGCCAUUGGAAACGAUGAUUAAUACUAGAUACUCCUUCUUACUCUAAUGUAAGUCGGGAAAGUUUUUCGCUAAGAGAUCAGUCUAUAUCCCAUCAGCUAGUUGGUAGUGUAAGAGACUACCAAGGCUAUGACGGGUAGCGGGUUUGAGAGGAUGAUCCGCCACACUGGAACUGAGACACGGUCCAGACUCCUACGGGAGGCAGCAGUGGGGAAUAUUGCACAAUGGACGAAAGUCUGAUGCAGCAACGCCGCGUGGAGGAUGACACAUUUCGGUGCGUAAACUCCUUUUAUAUAGGAAGAUAAUGACGGUACUAUAUGAAUAAGCACCGGCUAACUCC
rnacentral:rRNA from 1 species